rnacentral:rRNA from 1 species
AACGUAGGAGGCGAGCGUUAUCCGGAUUUACUGGGCGUAAAGCGCGUGCAGGCGGAUUGGAGAGUUGGAUGUGAAAGCUCCCGGCUUAACUGGGAGAGGUCGUUCAAUACUUCCAGUCUUGAGUGCAGUAGAGGGAAGUGGAAUUCCGGGUGUAGUGGUGAAAUGCGUAGAUAUCCGGAGGAACACCAGUGGCGAAAGCGGCUUCCUGGACUGUAACUGACGCUCAGACGCGAAAGCUAGGGUAGCAAAC